rnacentral:tRNA from 1 species
CUUAAUGAGACAGAAAAAUGUGCUAGACUUAAACCCUAGUUAUGAGCUAUUCUCCGUUAAGG